rnacentral:rRNA from 1 species
UGCAAGUCGAGCGGUAGCACAGAGAGCUUGCUCUCGGGUGACGAGCGGCGGACGGGUGAGUAAUGUCUGGGAAACUGCCUGAUGGAGGGGGAUAACUACUGGAAACGGUAGCUAAUACCGCAUAACGUCGCAAGACCAAAGUGGGGGACCUUCGGGCCUCAUGCCAUCAGAUGUGCCCAGAUGGGAUUAGCUAGUAGGUGGGGUAAUGGCUCACCUAGGCGACGAUCCCUAGCUGGUCUGAGAGGAUGACCAGCCACACUGGAACUGAGACACGGUCCAGACUCCUACGGGAGGCAGCAGUGGGGAAUAUUGCACAAUGGGCGCAAGCCUGAUGCAGCCAUGCCGCGUGUAUGAAGAAGGCCUUCGGGUUGUAAAGUACUUUCAGCGAGGAGGAAGGCGUUAAGGUUAAUAACCUUAGCGAUUGACGUUACUCGCAGAAGAAGCACCGGCUAACUCCGUGCCAGCAGCCGCGGUAAUACGGAGGGUGCAAGCGUUAAUCGGAAUUACUGGGCGUAAAGCGCACGCAGGCGGUUUGUUAAGUCAGAUGUGAAAUCCCCGGGCUCAACCUGGGAACUGCAUUUGAAACUGGCAAGCUUGAGUCUUGUAGAGGGGG